rnacentral:lncRNA from 1 species
AACCAUCCGGAUAAAAUGACAACAAAACAUGUUUGAACAAGUUGGAAAAAUAUAACGAACUUUAGAAAUUUAUUAUUCUGUGCAUAAAAUACAAACAAAAAUAAUAUCGCAUUCUGUUUGAAUAAUUUGAAAAACGGAUUAAAGAGAUAGAACAAAAUGCAAUGUCAGCUAUAAUUAAACAAAAUAAAUUUAACCUCGCGUUUACUCGGCAAAAAACUGAUACGUGACCCCAAGGUGUUUGAAAAUUGACCGGCUCAGUUGUUACGAUUAGGACUCUACAGUCCAAUAUUAAACCCAGUGGAAACUAUUUGGCCCAAAAUAAAAAUAAACGUUGAAAAUUUUGUUCGCAUUCCACCUGUAUUCGGUGCUGGGAUUAUGGAACAACUAAUCCAGUAUUUAGAAAGAAUUAUUACUGCAGCAAAAAAAAAACAAACAAGGAUGGGAGGUAAUUGUACACACACUGUACAACAUACAACCACGCAUUACGCAAUGAUUUUAAAUAUAGAAGGCGUCCAAGUUGGUGCUUAACUAACUAUUGUAAUG